UGAAAAGAUUAAGCUGCAAAUUUGGUCAUUCACUAUUGGUUUGGUAGGUAGCGCUGUAUGGUACCGGUACAAACUUCUGCCAAAGUAGAGCUAUCUGAUGAUUACAAAGGAUAUGAACUAGAGUAUUUCUGUGUUCCUCGGCAUUAUGAAGAUUCUCUAGAAUGUGUUUUAAUCCCAAGUGGAUUAAUCCAAGAUAGAAUUGAACGAUUGGCUCGAGAUGUAGCAGCUGACCUUGGAAGGGAACCAUUUGCAGCUCUCUGUGUGCUGAAGGGAGGUUACAAGUUUCUUGCUGAUCUUCUGGAAAAAAUUAAACAGUGUUAUCGCUUUAGUUCUGAAAAUUCUGUUCCAUUUUCUGUAGAUUUUAUCCGUUUACAGAGUUACAAGGAUGAUCAUUCAACAGGAGACGUCAAGGUGCUGGGUGUCGAUGGACUGUCUUUCCUUCAGAACAAGAAUGUGCUGGUAGUAGAAGAUAUUAUUGAUACUGGGAAGACAAUGAAAGUUUUGUUGGAGAUUUUGGAGAAGCAAAAGCCAAAAUCAGUCAAGGUUGCAAGCUUGUUUGUGAAGAGAACAUCUUCAAGCUCAGGGUUGCGACCAGAUUAUGUAGGUUUUGAAAUCCCAGAUAGAUUUAUUGUUGGGUAUGCCUUGGACUACAAUGAGUAUUUUCCAUGUGAAUCAUGUUUGUGUCAUCAGUGAACAUGGAAAACAGAAGUACUCUACAAAGAACUGUAAGAACUUUUGAACAAAAGGAAACUUGUGACUGUGUAAGAGAGAACUGGCAUUAUAGGAAAAGAGAUUUGAAAUGAAUGCAGAAACAUGUCUUACCAUACAAGUACAUGUAUGAAAAGAAAUUACAAUAGUGUAGUUUCAGUGCACUUAAAAUUUAAUCUUUUCUUUCAAGGGUGGUUUUCUUGAUUUUUUUGAGGUGGUGUUUUUUUUUUUCUUUGUUGUUGUUUUUUUUUUCAUGAAAGUGAAAUAUCAACUGGAUACUUCUUCGAUAUUACCCUAGUAUUUUGAUGAAGGUAGAAAAUUAUGAGAAAACUACCUGAACCCAUAAAAACAUUUAGUUAUUUAUUUCAAAAUGAGUCUUCUUAAAUUUAGACAAUUAGAAGCAUGUGGUCUAUGCUUAGAUAAAAUAAAUCUGUUGCUAUUUUUUUUCCAAUCUAAAAACUAGAGUUGAGUGAGAAGUUUUUCUUUGCUGACAUCACAUAUUCAUUUCUAUCAUGAGAUGAAUAGCCAUAACGACUUUUUAGAAAUAUUAUUAAACUUUACCAUUCAAAUAUCACAGCUGUAUGUUGGGGUACUUGUUCUUUAUUUCAAUCUGAGAAUAUUAAUCAACCUAUUUCAUUAUUUCCUGUAGCAAGUUUGUAUCUCUUAUUCAUGUGUUGAUGUAUGUUGAAAUGCUCAUAUCUUGAAGUUCUUGGAACUCGUUAUUUUUGUUUCUCAUAAAAACUGGGAUAAUAGUUUUUUACAUAUUAAUCAUUGCCAUGCCUGCUUCUCAGAUUGUUUACAAUAUUGUAAAAUCAAAGCUCUUUUUUUAGUAAAAAUAAAAAGUAGCAUAAGUUCUGCUUAUAAUAACCAGUGUUAUUAAAAGAUUGUUGCUAUUGUUUUUUAAUAAAAAAACAGAUUUCUUGUUAUAAAAAAAUUUAGAUACAUAUAUUUACUGGUCAUUUGACUUAGGAAGCUGUAGUCAGAGAAGUGUUUCAUAUCUGCCUUAGGUAUAUACAUUGCUACUCUCUUAAUUGAAAUAGUAAACUUAGUUAACAUUUAAAACGAAUUCAAACAUCUCAUGUUGUUAGUUGUGAUUCUGUAUUUAUCUGAAUUAGCAGCAUUUUCAUAGAGAUUUAUGUUAUGAAUAUUCUGUGGGUUAUUCAUUUUUACAGUUAGUAAGUGGAUCAAUGUAGUAUUUCACAGUAAAUAUACUGAGUUUAUUGUAACAUCAUUAUGAACUGAUUUAAUCAGAAUAUACGUCCACUCUAGUUAAAUUUUGGGUAUAGAAAUGGUAAAAUGUUUAUAGCCAGCUUUUUUUUUUUCAGUUUCAGGAAGAAACUUGUUCUUGAGUCAAAAUAUUAAUUUGCAAGUAUUGAGUAAAAUAUACGAGUACAUAUAUGAUGUAUUAUUAUUUUUAGAUUAGUCUUUCUUGUCAAUAUUAAACCUUAGUUAUGGAUAAGUUCAGUAUUAGUAAAUCAUCAAAGGAACAUUUUGAUCUAAUUUGUUUUGUUUUUCUCUCUUAACUCAAUCUUACCCUAGGUUACUUUAGAGUUGUCCUGCAAAUAUUACGUACUUGAAGUGAACGUGUCAAAGUAUAAUGAGUGUCAAUAUAAAAUUAAUUUGCCUUGAGCAUAAUAUCAUUACAUACUUCAGUUUGAGCAAUCAUUUAUUUCUUUUCCAAUAAAAAUACAUGCGAGUUUUGUGGCUUUGCGUUGUUUUUUAAUGAUAGAAAAUGCAAUAUAACAUGUAAAAAUUUAAUUAUCUUGAUAGAUGUUAUUAUUGGUUAAUCAGUUUAUUUAUUUAUUUAUUUAUUUUUUCAGCAGGAUAGUAAAUAACAGUAUGAAGUUAAGUGUUCUGUAAUACAAAUAUUUUAGAGAAAAACGUGUGAACUGGUUUCAUAUAACUUUUUCUCAUUUCAUAUACGUAGAGGUGAUGUUUCGUAUAUAUAUAAUAGGUGACGGAUUUGUUCCAUUUAUGUAACUUAGUGUGAAGAACCGUUUUUUCUGUUUGUUUUUUAUUUGGACAUCCCAAGAAGGCAGAUGUCACAUGUUUUAAUUGUAGCUGGGUUCCAGAUUACCUCAAUUACAAAUGUUGUCCAUAUCAGUUAAGGACUUAUCAAAUAUAAUGAAUAUGUGACCUUUCUAUAGAAACUAAUAGUUGUACUGUGUGCUGAAUAAAGUAUUUUUUGCGUAAUUCUUACAGAGUUUGCAAAACUUUUC